AAGCGAUUAGCGCAAUCUCGAAUUCGUGACCGCCGUCCGCGAUUUGAAAAUCGUUUAUCGAAUAUAACUUGUCCGAGAACCUGCUAUAAAUUGAAAUUUCUAUAGACAGAACUAAACAGUUACUUGUGGUCUGCCAUUGAAGAUCAGUUGGUUUCAAGCAACGUUCAACAUUUUGUCAUUGACACUUCACAGGUGCGUGAAUUUCCGGUAAGUACCAUGAAGAGUUGGCUGAUAAGUGGAACGCGCGCGAUAAGACUUCUCUGCAUCUUCCUUCUGGUGCAGUCGUUUUUGGUUACUUCGUCGAAUUCUGAACCCGAAACGUGAUGGCUGUAACCCGUGCGGUGGAAUGCAGAAUUUUACGUAGAUGUAACAUGGCGUUCAACCCAAAGUUUAGACCCAAAUGGUGCAGAAAAUUUCCAGUCUCUUAAAAUUUAUGAUUCACAUAUCUUUGUUCUUGUUCUUCAUUGCAUUGACGUUGCAAGAUUCAAAGGACGUUGAUUACUAAUUGGUCGAUUAUUAGCUCACUGAUUUUCUGUAUUCAGAAUCCUGUUCUUUGUCAAUUGAAUUACAAAGAAUGCAAUAAACAAAA
rnacentral:misc_RNA from 1 species